rnacentral:lncRNA from 1 species
GUCCCGGAGUGACCCGGCGGCGGAGGAAGGGCGGGCCGCAGGCGGCGGGCCCGGGGGACCUUGAGCGGGCGGGCGAGGAGCGGGUGAGACCGAGGUCGACAGAGUGGGGGCCCCACGAGGCCCGCGCCUGGUCGGGAAGAGAGUAGGAGAUUCCCCCGCGAGCUCAGACCCGGCACUGAGGGAAGAGACACUCCGAGUCCUGCGUCUCCAAGUUUUGCUCCAAUGCCCUUGACAUUGAAUGCAUGUGUGGCGUCUAUCCUGGCGCAGGCGAUUUGAUAUUUUCAAUAGGCCUAACCUCACCAGUGGCGUGCCCGGCCCGGCUGGCUAGCGGCUCCUGUCCCCAAGACCCCCGCAGUCACCAGACCUUUGCACUGCCCAGCGCUGGAGGGGGCGACCAGAGCCUUACAGGCUCCACGGUGGUGAUAACUUCUGGAAACACCAAGGACUAAAAAGGAAGGAAACUGCAGAAAGUGGGGGGCCACAGAAGCAGCAGCUCGCAGUCAUGUUCCAAGACUAGCAAUCCAUAAACAUUGCUUGCCCUGGGGGGGGGAAAAUAAAGAUUUCGCCAAUACUGCAUCUCUUCGAUUUUUACCCAUUUCCUUUACUUGGUCCUAUUUUUACUUGGUCAAAGAAACACGUGUAUCAUAUACUCAGAAUUUCCCCUUAAUUAUAAGUUUUUUACAAAAAGUCAAUAAAAG